UGCCAUACAAUAAUAUACAUCAUUAAAAGUUAGAAUUCAUUCCUAAAAUUUAAAUAUUAUAAAAUACUAAUUGACAUAUUAACAUGCAGUCCUGUAAUUUCCAGAUAAUAUAAAAGCCACAUGCAUAUGACUGUUUAUUAAUUAAGAGGAUAUUUCUUUGUAUGUUACGUAACACGCGCUCAAAACUAAUGCCAGUAUAACAUACCACCUGCGGUCAUGACUACAUUCAAAAAUUUUAUUUUUCGAUACGUUUCUCAAUUGGAAAACAAACUUAAAAAGUACUGUAUGUUUAGUGCUUUACUUGUAAAAUAAUUAUAAAAUGAAGAGAUUUUCGAGAAAAUGAUGUCUGAAGUUCAGUAAGUUUUGCUUACAUUGCUGCAUGUAUAAAUAUGGCGUCAAUUUUACAGCAUCAAUGAUAAUUGUAUUUAAAUUGACACUAUUAAAGUAUUAUUUGUGUUUCUCAACCGCCAGAUUUUUUCAGAAAAAGGUUUCUAACUGUGUAAACUACAUAAUACAACUAAAACAAAGUAAUUUUGAGAGGAACGCCAAAAAGAUUUCAGGUUUUGAACACUUUUCAUAGCAAAUACGUGACAUUGAAAAAAAAUGCCUCUUAAUACUCUAGUUCUUUGCCAGAGAACAUACAAAUACAUCUGUGACUAUAUCUAAAAUUUAAUAUAUUGUAAAUAGGUUAUAAAUUAUUUAACAAAUUUAAGAUUGUCCUCUUUAUUGAGCCCCAAUAUUGUCCUCUUAAUUAAUGGCCCGACGUAUAAGUCACUCAUUAGACAGAUUUAGGGAAAACGACGAGGCAAACACGACGACGCGGGCUAAUUUCAGCUCAAGAUUGAGAGCUCUAGGACCUUGAUUACUGUUUAUAAAUUGAAGCUUUUUAAAUAAUCUUACAAACGGCUAUGUUCGGGAAAACGAGGCGAUGUCUGCUAUGAGAUAGACUUUAUGUAACGCCUACAACGUCGCAACAAGCAUUCACGUUGGUCCAAUGACGUAAAAAUCUUAGUUUAACGUUGUAUUCAGAAUGACAACUUUGUUGAGGAUACCCCUGGGAUCACAAAUUAUUCAAUUUUUUUGUUUUGCAUGAAGAAUCUCUUUGUCUUUCAGUUCGCGUCGUAUUCUCUAAAUCAGUGUCAGUCUGUUACCAGAACUAAGCGACAAAAUGGUAACCGCUCCUAUAUUAAUUUGCAUAUGAUUCAUAUGCAGUGGCCUUUAAUUUUUAACAGAGCAAAUAGAGGGUAAAAUAUUUAAUUUGGCAACGCGACAUGCAGUACUACUGUUUGCCGACAUCGCGAUCAAUAAAACAAUUAUUUUCAAAAGGUUUGGUUACACGUUUAAUCAGAUUGGGAAUCUUCACGAGAGGCCAAAUAAUAAUUCGUUGCAAACACUCUAAUCUAUGCUUCGGCCUCUACUAACAACACAGUAUAAAAACAACCAUUUUUUUAUUCCAGUUGAGUCAUUAAAUCGGGGAGUAAAACAUCAAUUAAUAUUGGUAAAAGUCUAGUCUUACGGGGUUUCUCUAUAAACUCAAACAGUAUUAAAAAUCUCAAAACAUAAUCCCUCAGCAGUUUAACCAAUCCUACAAAGUUGACAUAAAAGUUGAUGUUUUCGAACACUUUUUGUUCGCUCGGAGAGAUACCCGACUUGAAUAAAUAUGCCACCAAAACUUUAGCAAAUGACUGCUUUAUUGACACGAGACCGGGGUGGAAAUUUCCGCUAUUCCGAAUAUGGUAAAAUGCCUGACGGAAUAGUAAACUUCAUGAUCACGGUAUUGCGUUUGCAUAGUAGAAAAAAUUGUGGUACCAAAUAUCGACAAGCAAGGGUUUUCCUCUUGUAUAAAAUCACUAUACUGUAUACCGAACUUUGAACCACUUGUUUCACUUCGUAGCUAAGUUCUUGUUUGCUUGCAGUACUUACGUUUUCUAAUUUCUUUGCAGCAAUAUUAACUUAAUUAACUUUGCUACAAUAAGAUGACAGUCAGACCGCCACUGGCCUGCCCUGUCGUCCAAAACAACUUUAGCGUUUAGUUUUUAGGACUCAAACAUUAUACAAAAUGCGGCGGUAUAUAUCGGGCGUAGAAUAUGUACAUGAAUAGAUGAGUUAGAUCAUAGUUAAUUACUGAAUGAUUCAUUGAAUGUGAGAUGUUUUGUUUUUUAUUAAUAAUUUGUUCAUCACUGUACAGAGCAAUGCACUGUAC